CAACCGAGCGACUUCAUAGUACGCGUAUCGCGUCCAGCAUCUGCUGUGACAGAUUUAAUUAUUCAAAAUACUGGCGCCACCAGAUCGUGCUAAAAAAUAAACAAAAUAAAAAAAAUAAAUACAUUUACAUAUGGUACACCAGAGUGUGGAGACAGCAUCGUUGGAAAUCGGAUAUCAAAAAGUCAAUUUAAUACAAGUUCUAUAGAGUAAAACACCGUAAUGUAAUUUAACACUGCCAGAAUGGUUUUUGGAUUUCUGGAAACUAGAGCUUUAGAAGAAAAAACAAAAAUGCAUUAAAAGUUGGUAGAGAAACGUAAAUGAAUUAAUCGAAAAUUUAUAAAAUAAUAAACUGAAUAAACAUAUUUUUUUUUCGUCACACAUUUUUCACGUCAAACUGAAAAAGUCACAAAGCGAUUUUGUCCAGCUAAAAAAGAUCCAUUGAUUUUUGCUCUAAAAUUGGAUUGCCAUAUAUUCCUCGCAAAUAAAAAUUUCAUUAGCCAUCGCAGUACUAAGAUUAAAACGAGGCCAAUGAGUGCCGUAUGUGAUUGUUAUUCGUUCAUUCACUUGAUGUUCCAAUGAACAAGGUUAUUGAUUAUUUUAAAACUUUUUUAAAAUUAUGUAUGCAAGAAUCCAAGGUGUAUGGAACCAGAAAGCGGCGCACUGAACCAGCGAAAGUAUUCGUGUUGGGGUAAAUCGCGGCGAAAGUCUGGGGCCAAACACUGUGACAGAUUGUGCUGAGUCUUUGAAUAUUGAUGCGGAAUAACGAUCCCUGGUUGCUGGAUGAAAGGACGUUGACUGAAAAGAUGACAGGCUGACAGUUUUUCCGGCAUAUGAGUCCCAAGCUCCAGCUUCAGCUCCAGCAUCAGCUCCAGCUAAAGAAUUCCAAGAAGCUGACUGUGGCUGCGUGUCGCUUCCAUCAAAAUUGAUGGCUCACGGAGACCGCAGAGAACGUUGGAAUAGCAAAUAAAAGGAAAAUCAACAGUCAUGCGAAGUACGAGUACACGUACACUACUCAAAUGAUACACAAAAUUCAACCGAAGUGAACCCGUCUGAGUGAAUCUGUGAGUGUACAUUGAAUGCUAUGGAAUGAGGAGGUCAUCGGCAGCCUCAUUAAGAAGCAUCAAUGGCCGAGUGCAGGUUAUUAGCAUAAUCCUGGAUUGCUCACGGUUCGAGUCGGAGAACAACUGUAUCGUGGGGUCAGAGAACUGUAAUUGAAAUGCUGCUACAGUUGGUUUUACUGGCAAUUGUCUGGCAUUAUGGAUUAUGAUUCGAACCUCAACGCUUGCUUGGCUUUUUUUGUGCGGUAUUUCAUUAUGUUCAAGUGUUUUUUUCCACGAUGCGGAGAAUGGCUUUGCGCUUUGCUGUGGCUUGUUGCGUUAGUGCGGAGCUGGGCUUGCCUUUUGCCGACCUGAGGACUGCUCGCAAUAUGUAUAGUAAAUAGGAAUGCGAUUCCGUUGGCAGAAUCUGGUUACUACCACUACCGCUAUUGCAGGAAAUUUAAUUAAAGUCCAGACAAUUUCAAUUGAUUGCCAACUUAUGCAGUGGAAACCGUAGCCCUCUAAAAAAAAGAAAAACUUUUUUUUUUUUUUACUUUUUAGCUCAC